rnacentral:rRNA from 1 species
CAACUUUCWACAACGGAUCUCUUGGCUCUCGCAUCGAUGAAGAACRCAGCGAAAUGCGAUACGUAAUGUGAAUUGCAGAAUUCAGUGAAUCAUCGAAUCUUUGAACGCACCUUGCGCCCCYUGGCRUUCCGAGGGGCACACCCGUUUGAGUGUCGUGA